rnacentral:rRNA from 1 species
UACGAAGGGGGCUAGCGUUGUUCGGAAUCACUGGGCGUAAAGCGCACGUAGGCGGAUCUUUUAAGUCAGGGGGUGAAAUCCCGAGGCUCAACCUCGGAACUGCCUUUGAUACUGGGGGAUCUCGAGUCCGGGAGAGGUGAGUGGAACUGCGAGUGUAGAGGUGAAAUUUCGUAGAUAUUCGCAAGAACACCAGUGGCGAAGGCGGCUCACUGGCCCGGAACUGACGCUGAGGUGCGAAAACGUGGGGGACAAACAGGG